AUGAACGCUGGCGGCGUGCCUAAUACAUGCAAGUCGAGCGAACAGACGAGGAGCUUGCUCCUCUGACGUUAGCGGCGGACGGGUGAGUAACACGUGGAUAACCUACCUAUAAGACUGGGAUAACUUCGGGAAACCGGAGCUAAUACCGGAUAAUAUAUUGAACCGCAUGGUUCAAUAGUGAAAGACGGUUUUGCUGUCACUUAUAGAUGGAUCCGCGCCGCAUUAGCUAGUUGUUAAGGUAACGGCUUACCAAGGCAACGAUGCGUAGCCGACCUGAGAGGGUGAUCGGCCACACUGGAACUGAGACACGGUCCAGACUCCUACGGGAGGCAGCAGUAGGGAAUCUUCCGCAAUGGGCGAAAGCUUGACGGAGCAACGCCGCGUGAGUGAUGAAGGUCUUCGGAUCGUAAAACUCUGUUAUUAGGGAAGAACAAAUGUGUAAGUAACUAUGCACGUCUUGACGGUACCUAAUCAGAAAGCCACGGCUAACUACGUG
rnacentral:rRNA from 1 species